AACUUAAAGGAAUUGACGGAAGGGCACCACCAGGAGUGGAGCCUGCGGCUUAAUUUGACUCAACACGGGGAAACUCACCAGGUCCAGACACAAUAAGGAUUGACAGAUUGAGAGCUCUUUCUUGAUUUUGUGGGUGGUGGUGCAUGGCCGUUCUUAGUUGGUGGAGUGAUUUGUCUGCUUAAUUGCGAUAACGAACGAGACCUUAACCUACUAAAUAGUUCUGCUAGCAUUUGCUGGUACGAUACUUCUUAGAGGGACUACCGAUUUCAAGUCGGUGGAAGUUUGAGGCAAUAACAGGUCUGUGAUGCCCUUAGACGUUCUGGGCCGCACGCGCGCUACACUGACGGAGCCAGCGAGUAUUAACCUUGGCCGAGAGGUCCGGGAAAUCUUGUGAAACUCCGUCGUGCUGGGGAUAGAGCAUUGUAAUUAUUGCUCUUCAACGAGGAAUUCCUAGUAAGCGCAAGUCAUCAGCUUGCGUUGAUUACGUCCCUGCCCUUUGUACACACCGCCCGUCGCUACUACCGAUUGAAUGGCUUAGUGAGGCCCUCGGAUUGGUUUAAAGAAGGAGGCAACUCCAUCUUGGAACCGAAAAGUUGGACAAACUUGGUCAUUUAGAGGAAGUAAAAGUCGUAACAAGGUUUCCGUAGGUGAACCUGCGGA
rnacentral:rRNA from 1 species